UACGUAGGGUGCAAGCGUUAAUCGGAAUUACUGGGCGUAAAGCGUGCGCAGGCGGUGAUGUAAGGCAGAUGUGAAAUCCCCGGGCUCAACCUGGGAACUGCAUUUGUGACUGCAUCGCUGGAGUACGGCAGAGGGGGAUGGAAUUCCGCGUGUAGCAGUGAAAUGCGUAGAUAUGCGGAGGAACACCGAUGGCGAAGGCAAUCCCCUGGGCCUGCACUGACGCUCAUGCACGAAAGCGUGGGGAGCAAACAGG
rnacentral:rRNA from 1 species